AAAAAAAAAAAGUACAUGCUAAUUCUAUUUUUAGCUUUUUUUUUUUUCAAGAAACAUCCAUGUAGUUUUCCAUAACAGUUACACAAAUUUAUAUUCUCACCAACAGUAUACAAGUGUUACUUUUCUCCAUAUCAUUACCAAUACUUGUUAUCUUUCAUCAUUUUUAUAACGAUCAUUCUGAGUGAUGUGGUUUUUCAUUGUGCUUUUAAUAUGCAUCUCCCUAAUGUUUAGUUUGUUGAACAUUUUUCUGUGUACAUGUUAGCUAUUAAUAUAUCUUAUCUUGAAAAUGUCUGCUCAACUUCUUAAGCAGAUUACUUGUUUUCUUUCUGUAAAACUGUUUAAGUCUCAUAUAUUUUUGAUACUAAUAUCUUAUCAGAGGUAUGGCUUGAAGACAUUUCCACCAGUCUGUAGACUGACUAUCUUUUCACCUUGUUCAUUAAGUACUUUUUGUGCAAGAGCUUUUCAAAAUUUAUUUAAAAUUUUUAGAAUUUUAUUUGAGAGGUGGGAAGUAUGGGGUAGGGUGAGCUCUUAUCCAUUGGUUCACUCCCCAAAUACCUGUAAUGGCUAGGGACUAAAGCUGAGAGCCAGAACUCAAUAAAGGUCUCUCACAUGGGUGGCAGAAACCCAACUACUUGCAGCAUCCUUGCUGCUUCCUAGGUUCCAUUUUAGCAGGAAACUGGAAUUAGGAGCUGGAUUCAAGUAUCCAACCCAGGAACCUCAAUGUGAGAUGUGGGCAUGUUAAUCAGCAACUUAACUGCUAGGAAAAAUGUUCACCUUAAAAUCUUCAUACCUUGUUGUAACUGUAUUUACCUACUUUUAUUUUUGUUGCCUGUGCUUCCCACCAUAAAAUCUAAAAAACCCUGCCCAGAGCAAUGUUGGGUAGAUUUCCUGUGUUCUCUUCUAGUAGUUUCAUAAUUUCAAAUUCUCAAUUUAAUUCUUAAUCUAUUUUAUGUUGAUUUUCUAAUAUGGUGUGAGGUAAGGAUCCAAUUUCAUUCUUUUACAUACGAAUAGUCAGUUUGCCCAGCAUUAUUUCUGGGAGAGACUUUUUUUUUCCCAUUGCAUGGUCUUGAAUGCUUUGUCAAAAAGCAGUUAACCAUAGGUUUAUGGGUUAAUUUCUGGGCUCUAUAUUCUGUUCCAUUGGUCUGUGUAUGUUCACAUCAGCAUCAUACUCUUUCAAUCAUUAUUACUUUGUAAUAUGAUUUUGAAAUGAGGUAACAUGAUUUCUUUUUACUCACAAUUGCCUUGACUGUUUGAGGUUUUAUUGUUAAUCCUAUAAGUACCUCAUUUUGUUCAACAUUGAAACCAUUACCUGUCUCAUGCUAUGGCAAAUAUUAAAUAAGAUAAUCUAUGUUAAGCCAAUAUAAUAAUGCUUGCACAUAGUAAGUACUCUAUGUUUGUUUAUAUCAGUAUUACUUUGCUUCUCCAGACAGAAUGACUGCUUUAGGUUGAAGAUCAUCUAACCACAGUUUGGUGAAACAUUAACUUUAGUGUAUACACACACAAAGGCAAGCCAGGAAGAGGUGACAGUUACACCAGUACAGUUGUGAGACCUUAGUAAACACUGAUAAAAGAAACACAGCAGCAUGUUUCAGUUUUAACAAGUUUAUUUGAGCAUUUAGCAAUUCAUGAAUUGGGAUAGCAUUCUGUUGGAAUGAGCAGGAUGGUUAAUUUUAAUAAUCUGAUUGAAGACGCAAGACAAAGAAGACAAUUUUGAUGGGUUAGAGUGGAAAGUUCCUAGUUAUGGAUUAGUUGGUGGUUUCUGAUUGGUACAGUUUCUAGUUUCAGUUUAUUGUGUACAUCAGACUUUGAUUUGUUCAUGUAGGAAUUUAACAUGCCACAGUGACCAGAGUCUAGUGGCCUCCCCAUCAGAAUUUUGUUUUGAACAAGGACUUGUCAAUAGAAACAGACUGAAAGUGACCAGUUAAAAGAACACUAUUGCCAAGGAAUGUGUUAGGACUUUGUCAAUGAGCCAGAAUUACUUGAGUGGUAAGAGUUAGGAAGACAAAACUUAUGAGUGUUGUUAAAACGUGCAACAAUUCCAGUGACUCAUGCUGCACUUAUUGCACCGGGGAGUUUAGGGUGUGAUGCUCAUUCAGGCUCUCAUACAUACCAGGCUGUCCACUCACAAGAGAUGGGGUCUUUAUGGACAUAACCUGGCUACUCCUUCUUGCAGAGUUGCACAAAGCAUGCAAAUGGGCUUCAAUUUACCUCAGAUGGCUUAUUCCACACUUUCUCUAACCUCCAUGCAGCCUCAAACUCUUCAGCAUGAUCUUAUGUUAAGUCUGCUGUCAAUUUGAAGACACUAAAUAUUUUUCAAACAAGCUCUUUAGUCACAUCAUCUUCAUUCUCAGCUUAGAUGUGAGUGCUCUAGAGAAGGACUUUAAGGUUCUGCUCAUUAAAUUUUAGCUUGCUGAACGUAGCCCAUUAGUUCUGUCAUUGCGAUUACUUUCUAUCAUUCAACAAAUCUGUCAUCUACUCUGGUUUGUAGUCCUUGGUAUAUUGGAUAAGCAUGUAUUCUAUGGUAUUAUCUAAGCUGUUAAUAAAAAUAUUGAAACUGGUAAGAUCAAGGACAGAACCCUAAUCCAAGAUUUUUCAGGUAAUUCAGGGAAAAACAUUUAAACUUAAAUAUGAAAAUGUGGCUUUGAUAUUUCAUAUUCACCAGAAUUAUUCAAAUCCAACGAAGCUGUAACUUUAGACCUAUACUUCCUUUGAAUCAUUAACCUGUAUUUUUAAAUGACAGAAGUUUUAUUAAAUCUUUCUAUUUUUCUCAAAGCUCCAGUUGAGAUAUUUUUAGUUAAAAUGACAAUAACAGGGCUUAAUGAUGAAAUAUGUUAAAAAGGGCCAGCUUAUCUCAGCAGGUCAAGUCGCUACUUUCAACUCUGGCAUCCCAUACUGAAGCACUGGUUUGAGUCCCACCGCGCCACUUCUGAUCCAGCUUCCUGCUAAUGUACCUGAUGUUGGUGUUGGGUAAAUAUCCCUUUCAUGGAGGUGUUUAUCCGUCAGGUCCCAUCAAGAGUGCAAAACCCUGACAAGCAAAGCAACUACAUUAAAAAAUGGCGAGAGGUCCUUCAGUGGUGCAGCGGACCUGGAGGAGUCCAUGUGUUCCUUGGAUGCCUUCUCAGCUGCUAGUUGUACCUCCUCCUCACCCAAUGUGAAAGACAUAGCCUGGUUAGUAAAUAAACAUUUGCUUAAUGACCAAAUAACAGGGUGGAAAGCAGACAUUAAAAAAAAGCACACACCUUCCUUGAAGACAUGAGUUAAGGAAAUCAAAGGCAAAAUGUCCAGAGGAAGAAAAUUUGGCUAUCUGGUUAAGUGCUCCAGAGGUCUUAUGACAUUGUCUACUGAAAGGACAAUCCCCAGGAGCCACCAUGCACUCAUGCUAAUGAGUCACCAGUACAAAGGCCAAGACUCUGAAGACCACAGUGGACAGGGUUCGUGGUGAACACAGGUUACAAAGGGACGCCCACAUCUGAGCACAGGCACUGAAUUGAGAAGGCAGAGAAGGUGGACCUGCUAGCAGUCUUUGAAUAAAGGAGCAAGGGCACGGCAUGGAGAAACUGACCUCAAGGGCAGAAGGCGACUCAUUUGGAAACACUCUUCCAAGCACAAUAAUACAGCUGGUGAGACUGAAGGAGGCUUUGGAGAACAGCAAAACUUUUGCUGCUGUCUUCUUCCAAAGCCUUGUAAACUCUGACCCUAGUGUUGGGCCAGUGCACGGGCAGGGGUCCUUUAACAGGCAGGACUGUAUGAGUUUGAGUUUCAGAUAAUGCUCUUGAGGAACAACUGUAAUAAAAUCCCUCUACCAAAGGGAUGAUAGUAUAACACUGGAAGAAAUAAUGGUAGAAUGAUUGUUAAUGCACAAGAAGCAGCAGAGGGCUUGAAGCCACAACUGCCCACACCAAGAGGCCAUUAUUCCACUCCAGUCCUCCUGUGGGUUCCCACCGUUCUCCAAAUAAAGUUGGAACUCUUUGCCAUGAUAAACAAAAUCCUAAGCAGUGACCCUUUCCUUCCUCACCAAUGCUGUCUUCCUGUUCCCAUUACUACUCUUUGUGCUCCAGCCACCAGGAUCAUCUUGCUUUUUCCCAGGCACAGCAAACUUAGUCCAGCCUGUGGCCUUUGCACUGGCUCUUGUUGCUCCUCACUGGAUCUUCCCUGCCUUCCCCUUUCCUUUCAUGUGGGUUUCUGCUUAAAUAUAACUUCCUUAAAGAGAUGUUUCCUGUUCCUCAUCAUGCUAAAUAAUUUCCUACUCCUAGCCCCACCCUUGGAAUCUUCUAUUGUGUCAUUUUCAUUCAGCAUAUUCAUCUCUACCUCAUUGUGUGUCUGCUUAUUUACUGUUUGCUACCUAAAGCAAUACCCAUGAGGAGUUUUGUGGUUUUUUUUUUAAUGCUAAAUACCCAGCCCCAGAACUAUUAUGCAUUGGUUAUAGUGAUUUCUCAGUAAAUAUUUGUUGAAUCCAUGAUUGAAUGCAAUCCAGAAAGAGACAAUGGGCAGAUUAAGCUCUAAACCACAGAGCUAAUGUCAGCAGCCAAAGAGAAUGAUAUGAAACACGAGUGGGAGCGAAAGGGGGCAGCAUGAGUGGAGGGAGGUCUGGGUAUCCCCACAGCCUGGGCCAGAAACAUAAGAGCUGCCCAGGGGAAAAGAAAUGAAAGCUGUGGGAGUGGAAAUCCUUGUGACUCAUUUCAAGAAUGAAAAAGAGAACCCACCAUCUGGUGAUCAUGAGAACAACUUUAGGAAAAGCAACCCUGCUUAGGGAGUUCCGGGCCCUGGGAGGGAGAAUUCAGUUGUGUUCAGCCUCUUCUCUUCUGUCUCUUCUGAAGAUAGAGGCUGGAUCAGGAUUAAGCUUACUGGUUAACAAUAAAUAGCUUUACUAUGUUAUGUGCUGAGAUGCCCAUGGGCAGGGACACAUGAUCUUCACAACCAAAUCUCCAAAUCAUAACACUUGUUUUUACUACUACUACUACUACUACUACUACUGUACCGGUGAAUGGCAGGGUUCUUGUCUUCGCACAAGAAAGAAUUCAGGCAUGAGACAGAGUAGUGGAAA